rnacentral:rRNA from 1 species
AUUGAACGCUGGCGGCAGGCCUAACACAUGCAAGUCGAGCGGGGUUUUCGGACCUAGCGGCGGACGGGGGAGUAAUGCGUAGGAAGCUACCCGAUAGAGGGGGAUACCAGUUGGAAACGACUGUUAAUACCGCAUAAUGUCUACGGACCAAAGUGUGGGACCUUCGGGCCACAUGCUAUCGGAUGCGCCUACGUGGGAUUAGCUAGGUGGUGAGGUAAUGGCUCACCAAGGCGACGACCCCUAGCUGGUUUGAGAGGAUGAUCAGCCACACUGGAACUGAGACACGGUCCAGACUCCUACGGGAGGCAGCAGUGGGGAAUAUUGGACAAUGGGCGCAAGCCUGAUCCAGCCAUGCCGCGUGUGUGAAGAAGGCCUUCGGGUUGUAAAGCACUUUCAGUAGGGAGGAAGCGUUGUGUGUUAAUAGUACACAGCGUUGACGUUACCUACAGAAGAAGCACCGGCUAACUCUGUGCCAGCCGCCGCGGUAACAC